AGGAUAAGGAACGUGGUGUUGCAGUUCAAACCAUUUCCAGCCAAAAUGGACUCUGGUCACAAACAAAUAGUCAUAACAAUCCAAACUGGUGGCUGAAUAGAGUUCUGAAGUUUUGAGAAAGAGUUGGGAUCCAGUGAACCCUCCCCUUCUGAGCAGCAAAACCAAAUAAAGCAGUUCUCAAGGAUACAAAGACAAGACUGAGGAAGAUCCUAAUAAGGUGUUGCAAGGUGGCACAGGACAAACUUUGUCCAAAGGAAAUUGAUCUGACAAGAACUUCGGGACUUGUCAGUUCUUAGGGCUGACUGGUCUAUCCUCUUUGUAUUGACUUUGGCUUACUAGACUCAAGCAGAAAGUGACAAGGGAAGAAAAGGAAACAAACAGAAGCAAGUUUCCAAGUACAAGUUUUAUAUCAGGAAGAGCCAAUCAAAGAUCAUAUCUGGAAGACUGCUGCAAAGUUGUGAUAAAAGACCAAAUAGUAUUUUUACAGAAGGUGGAAUGAAUGACAGACUAAAGAUUUCAACUGAUUAAAGAAAUUAUGGAGUGCAUCAUUCUCAGUUUAUAUUGAACUGGGGUUGCUGAGAAAUUCCUCCUUAUAAAUUUACAUGGAAAUUAUCAUUUUUACUAGUUGAUUUCAGUUAAUUAGCCUACUGAA
rnacentral:lncRNA from 1 species